AGGGAUGUAGCUCAGUGGUAGAGCACUUGCCUACCAUGCAUGAUGCCCUGGGUUCAAUCCCCAGUAUCACAA
rnacentral:tRNA from 1 species